CAAUACCGUAUAUAAGAGUUGUUGCUGUUAACAAGCUCGUAGUUGGAUUUCCGCCGAGGACGACCGGUCCGCCCUUUGGGUGCGUAUCUGGCUCGGCCUGGGCAUCUUCUUGGAGAACAUAUCUGCACUUGACUGUGACGUGCGGUAUCCAAGACUUUACUUUACGGAAAUCAGAAUGUUUCAAGCAAGCACACGCCUUGCAUACAUUAGCAUGGAAUGAUAAGAUAGGACAACGGUUCUAUUUUGUUGUUUCUAGAGCUGAGGUAGUGAUUAAUAGGGAUAGCUGGGGUUAUUCGUAUUUAACUGUCAGAGGUGAAAUUAUUGGAUUUGUUAAAGACGGACUGCUGCGAAAGCAUUUGCCAAAGAUGUCUUCAUUGAUCAAGAACGAAAGUUAGGGAUCGAAGACGAUUAGAUACCA
rnacentral:rRNA from 1 species